rnacentral:rRNA from 1 species
UGGGGAAUCUUAGGCAAUGGGGGAAACCCUGAUCUAGCCAUGCCGCGUGAGUGACGAAGGCCCUAGGGUCGUAAAGCUCUUUCGCCAGGGAAGAUAAUGACGGUACCUGGUAAAGAAACCCCGGCUAACUCCGUGCCAGCAGCCGCGGUAAUACGGAGGGGGUUAGCGUUGUUCGGAAUUACUGGGCGUAAAGCGCACGUAGGCGGACCAGUCGGUCAGAGGUGAAAUCCCGGGGCUCAACCUCGGAACUGCCUUUGAUACUGCUGGUCUCGAGUUCGAGAGAGGUGAGUGGAAUUCCGAGUGUAGAGGUGAAAUUCGUAGAUAUUGGGUGGAACACCAGUGGCGAAAGCGGCUCUCUGGUCCGGAUCUGACGCUGAGGCGCGAAAGCGUGGGGAGCAAACAGGAUUAGAUACCCCUGUAGUCC